GACGAACGCUGGCGGCGUGCCUAAUACAUGCAAGUUGAGCGCUGAAGGUUGGUACUUGUACCAACUGGAUGAGCAGCGAACGGGUGAGUAACGCGUGGGGAAUCUGCCUUUGGGCGGGGGACAACAUUUGGAAACGAAUGCUAAUACCGCAUAAAAACAUUAAACACAAGUUUUAAGUUUGAAAGAUGCAAUUGCAUCACUCAAAGAUGAUCCCGCGUUGUAUUAGCUAGUUGGUGAGGUAAAGGCUCACCAAGGCGAUGAUACAUAGCCGACCUGAGAGGGUGAUCGGCCACAUUGGGACUGAGACACGGCCCAAACUCCUACGGGAGGCAGCAGUAGGGAAUCUUCGGCAAUGGACGAAAGUCUGACCGAGCAACGCCGCGUGAGUGAAGAAGGUUUUCGGAUCGUAAAACUCUGUUGGUAGAGAAGAACGUUGGUGAGAGUGGAAAGCUCAUCAAGUGACGGUAACUACCCAGAAAGGGACGGCUAACUACGUG
rnacentral:rRNA from 1 species